rnacentral:rRNA from 1 species
GAACUGAAGAGUUUGAUCAUGGCUCAGAUUGAACGCUGGCGGCAGGCCUAACACAUGCAAGUCGAGCGGAUGAGAAGAGCUUGCUCUUCGAUUCAGCGGCGGACGGGGGAGUAAUACCUAGGAAUCUGCCUGGUAGUGGGGGACAACGUUUCGAAAGGAACGCUAAUACCGCAUACGUCCUACGGGAGAAAGCAGGGGACCUUCGGGC